GCAAGCCUGACGGAGCAACGCCGCGUGAGUGAAGAAGGUCUUCGAUCGUAAAGCUCUGUUGACGGGGACGAACGUGCGAGAGGUGAAUAAACUCUAGCAAUGACGGUACCUGUCGAGGAAGCCACGGCUAACUACGUGCCAGCAGCCGCGGUAAUACGUAGGUGGCGAGCGUUGUCCGGAAUCAUUGGGCGUAAAGGGAGCGCAGGCGGGCAUAUAAGUCUUUCUUAAAAGUGCGGGGCUCAACCCCGUGAUGGGAAAGAAACUAUAUGUCUUGAGUACAGGAGAGGAAAGCGGAAUUCCCAGUGUAGCGGUGAAAUGCGUAGAUAUUGGGAGGAACACCAGUGGCGAAGGCGGCUUUCUGGACUGCAACUGACGCUGAGGCUCGAAAGCCAGGGGAGCGAACGGGAUUAGAUACCCCGGGUAGUCCUGGCCGUAAAACGAUGGAUACUAAGGUGUGGGAGGUAUCGACCCCUACCGUGCCGGAGUAACGCAAUAAGUAUCCC
rnacentral:rRNA from 1 species